rnacentral:lncRNA from 1 species
GCUCCGAUUCAGCAGAGAAAGGGCAAAAAAGAAAAAAUACCUCCACAAGGCAACUCUGAUUUAGUUUUGACUGUCGGAAAUGUGAGAGAGAGAAAAAAACGUUUCCAGAAUUCCGCUGCUUCUAAGAGGCAAGCAAAAAAUAAAAAAAGGGCUGUGCCUUAGCCUUCCAGAAAGCCAGAUAAAGACUUCUAAGGAGGCAAGUCCUUCUGAAGAAUCUACCAAUACCACAGAGAAGGGGUG